GACACUGAUGGAAAGUUUGAAAGAGCUGGAAAAGAAAGCCUCGAGAGGAAGAAAAACAGCGAAAAUCGCAAAUUGCGGCGUUCGAAAGAGAAAAAAGAAGAAGCUGUUGACAAUGAAAACAUCAGCGAUGAGAGGAACGAAAAGGAAAAUGAUGAGAGCAAGAAAAACAGCGAGAAUCGCAAAUUGCGGCGUUCGAAAGAGAAAAAAGUAGAAGCUGUUGACAAUGAAAACAUCAGCGAUGAGGGGAACGAAAAGGAAAAUGAUGAGGGGAAGUCGGAAGAACAAAACAAGAAGGGCUUUUUGUCGAGAGAAAGAAAGAAAAGCAAGUACUUGUC
rnacentral:lncRNA from 1 species